AGGACGAACGCUGGCGGCGUGCCUCAUACAUGCAAGUGGAGCGACGAACCAGGAUUUAUCCUGGGGCAAAGCCGCGAACGGGUGAGUAACACGUGGGUUACCUGCCUCGAUGACCGGGACAACCCGAGGAAACUCGGGCUAAUACCGGAUGUGCCCGCAAGGGGAAAGGAAGCUUCGGCCUCCGCAUCGAGAUGGGCCCGCGGCCCAUUAGCUUGUUGGUGAGGUAACGGCCUACCAAGGCGACGACGGGUA
rnacentral:rRNA from 1 species